UUCUCUUAGGGUUGAACUUAUUCUUCUCAUCGAUCGUUUUACACACAGAAUGAUGAUGAUGAUCAUAAUGAUUUUCAAAUCCAUGUCUCUACUUUUAUCUUUCUUCUCUGAUUCUGUUUAUCUCUCGUUCUCUUCAAUACUUUUAGGGUUCAACUACUCUGAUUUCAGAUGAACUUGUAAACGCUUAAAUCAGUAAUAUUAUUAAGUUCGAAUGAUUUGUUGAUUUCAUAGAUCUCAAAUCCCAAAUCGCCGACCAACACCAAUUUAUUAAGGAAGAGCUGGGGUUCCUAUUAAAGUCAUGGGAUUGAGUUUGGGAAGUUUGUAGAUGAAUAUAAUGUUCGUGUGCUUGAUGUUUAUGCUAUGCCUCUGGGGAUGACUUUAUGUUGUGAAAGAAGUUGGGUGAAGGUGCUUUUGGAGUAGUUUAUAGAGUUUUUUUGACAGAGAAACCUUAGAUCAAGCUGAGAUAUCCAUUCAAUCUUUAGAUGGCGAUAGAGGAACUGCUUCUAAGCACUCAUUUUAUGAUUGUUGAUGAGGUGCAACUGGCAUUGGAAAUGAGAGUCACGAAAGUAGUUAGUAUUGAGCUUUCUGGAAAUCCUGGAGAUUGGUACUUCCUCAUCUGAAGAUCUGCAAGAAUGGUCUACCAUAUAAAGUUUGAACUGGACUAGCCGGACUGUUUUAUUUCAGCAGUUACUAAUCUGAAUCAUUGAAAUUGUUUUAGUUUGUCUUGAUUUGUAUUAUUGAAUGCCUUACGACUAUUCAUUUGUAGUUUCUGAAUGUAUCAAAUCUUCGUAGUUUGUGUACUUCAUCUAUUUAGGUAGCUCAUCAGUAGGAAAAAGGGAUAAGGGAGAAGGGAGAUAAAUGCAUUAACUAACCACUUUCAUUAUAUUGCUGACCAAUUCUUAGUCAUGUUUACUUUUAGUUUCCUUUGUUCUUGCAAACAUACGAUGAACAACCGUAGAAUUUCAUGUUGCAGAUGGGAUUUUAUGGCUCAAGCUAUCUUGCCAUACUGUCAAGCACUAGAGAAGUUCGCUCCUCAUAUCCAACAGGCAUGUGUUGACAGUGUUAUGGGCUAUUAACAUUACUCUGCAUAGGGUUGUUCUCCAAUUACUUAAUGUGAUGGUGUGACUGCUCUUGCAGUUUAGCAUGGAGACCAAAGGGAAGGGUGUAUCAAUUGAUGGUGUUCCUCUUCAUUUCGAGGCAGGCGAAAUUGAUUUUGGUGAGCCAGAUUCGAACGGCCAACACAGCUUUUACCAGCUAAUUCACCAGGUUGCAGAUAUGAGCAGUAAGUGCGACUAUUUACAAGGCUGGUUAUUAAGCAACAAGAAGUUAUACUUGUUUGAGCAUGUAGGUAAUGAGUGUUGAGCUUGUCUCCAGUCUUGUCCUUUAAGAUUGUAUCUACUACUGCUAUUACACUUCACAUUACAACUGCAACCGCAGAAUUUCUAUAUUUUGAAAACUUAGGAAACGUUUACAUACUUGUCAUUUUUUUGAUACUACACACAGUAUUUGUAUGUCCUUGCAACUUCAGAA